GGCAGCACGGGCUUCGGCCUGGUGGCGAGUGGCGAACGGGUGAGUAAUACAUCGGAACGUGCCCUGUAGUGGGGGAUAACUAGUCGAAAGAUUAGCUAAUACCGCAUACGACCUGAGGGUGAAAGCGGGGGACCGCAAGGCCCUCGCGCUACAGGAGCGGCCGAUGUCUGAUUAGCUAGUUGGUGGGGUAAAAGCCUACCAAGGCGACGAUCAGUAGCUGGUCUGAGAGGACGAUCAGCCACACUGGGACUGAGACACGGCCCAGACUCCUACGGGAGGCAGCAGUGGGGAAUUUUGGACAAUGGGGGCAACCCUGAUCCAGCAAUGCCGCGUGUGUGAAGAAGGCCUUCGGGUUGUAAAGCACUUUUGUCCGGAAAGAAAUGGCUCUGGUUAAUACCCGGGGUCGAUGACGGUACCGGAAGAAUAAGCACCGGCUAACUACGUGCCAGCAGCCGCGGUAAUACGUAGGGUGCGAGCGUUAAUCGGAAUUACUGGGCGUAAAGCGUGCGCAGGCGGUUUUGUAAGACAGGCGUGAAAUCCCCGAGCUCAACUUGGGAAUGGCGCUUGUGACUGCAAGGCUAGAGUAUGUCAGAGGGGGGUAGAAUUCCACGUGUAGCAGUGAAAUGCGUAGAGAUGUGGAGGAAUACCGAUGGCGAAGGCAGCCCCCUGGGACGUCACUGACGCUCAUGCACGAAAGCGUGGGGAGCAAACAGGAUUAGAUACCCUGGUAGUCCACGCCCUAAACGAUGUCAACUAGUUGUUGGGGAUUCAUUUCUUCAGUAACGUAGCUAACGCGUGAAGUUGACCGCCUGGGGAGUACGGUCGCAAGAUUAAAACUCAAAGGAAUUGACGGGGACCCGCACAAGCGGUGGAU
rnacentral:rRNA from 1 species